GGGGGAAACUAGCGAGAGGAGAGUGGUACACAAUGCUACCGAAAGUCUAGAUAAAAACUGCAUUAAAACACAACGCCGUUGUUAGACAUCGGUUAGUGAUAGAAUAGCUCCAGCCAUGGACGUGGUUUGAAUUGCAGUGGAAGAGGUUAACACUCGAACAGAGGCAGCGAAGGAAUUUGCUUGGGGUUUGGCAGCCAUAUGCAGAGAUGAAACAGUGGUGUAGAUGGUGGAUGAAGAGCUGUUUGGAGGAUGAGAUUUCUAGCUUAGACGGCCUUCACUAGAAGGAAGCUAGGUGGAGAGGGAAAGCUCAAUUUAGAAUGACUUUUGGACAGAGUUUUGGGCUGGAAAUGCUUCAUCAGAGCAAAACUCAUAUAUAUCAUCAAAAGUGUUUACAUAAGCUGAUACAAGCAAAUUUAUAAUGAAAGACCCAAGCUAUGGACGGUGCAGAUGGUUGUGGAAGAAGCUCAGAUCUCCACACGUGGCANAAUCUCAAUUGUUUCUUCUUCUAGUCUCCUCUUUCCUCCUGUUGUAACAACUUUGCAUUCAUUUUUUGGGUUAACAUCAGUAUUAGCCCGAAAUUGAUGCUUNUNUGUGGUUUCAACCCUCUUAGACAGCUGUCCUAUUUGUGUCUCUAGUGAUCUAAAAGUUGCCUGAUCACUCGCUUGUUGAGAUUCAUAGACUUUCAAAAAUUUAUCAAACCUGUCAGUUAACUCUCUGACUGUCUCAGUCAAGCUGCUUAAUUGCUGCCAUAAGGGUGAGGGUUGCUGCCGGAAGUGACCUCCUUGUCCUGAAGAAGCAUUCGAGCUCUCCCCAAUACUUGGAUGAUUUUUCCAACCUUGGUUAGAGUUACCUUGGUUGAAACUUCCUUGUUUGUACUGAAAUUGGGCCCCCAUAUAAUUCACAUCCUGUUGCAUCUCUUCUGUAAGCGCACAUUGACCAUUAAUAUGGUCACCACCACAUAAAUCGCAAAGUUGUUGUGCCUGGGAAACAUUUCUAAGCCCCCGAGGAAGUUCAGAAACGACCUUUAGCAACUUGUCCAAUUUCUGACUGAGGAGGUGAUUUUGUGCUGCUGCUGCGUCUUCAGUGGGAAGAUGUAAAAGUCCUCCCUUUUGCGUGCCUCUUUCAUUCUGCGACACUUCAUUGAGAGCCAUCUCUUCAAUUAAGUUGUACACCUCAUCCUCUGUCUUUCUAUUAAUACUACCUCCAGCUGAGGCAUCUAUCAUCAUUUUAGACUGAGCGCGCAAACCUCCAAGGAACGCUAGCAAGUAUGAAGCUUUAUCAAACCCAUGAACUGGGGUUUCUCUCAACAAUCCUUUGAAUCUAUCCCAUGCUUGCCCCAGUGUUUCUUCCAUUCCUUGUUUAAAUGAAGAGAUAUCCAAUUUCCCUUGAUUGAUCUUUGGAGGUGGGAAGAAUUUAGUAAUAAAUUGUUGGACCACCGCUUCCCACAUCCUAAACGUUCCCUCCGGGAAAGAAUUCAACCAGUCUUUUGCGUUCCCUCCAAGUGAGAAAGGAAACAAGCUAAGUCUGAUUCUAUCAUCCGUCACUCCAGUUAUCUUCACUGUGUUGCAAAUUUCUCCAAAAACUGUCAAAUGCUCGUAAGGAUUUUCAUUUGACAACCCAUGGAAUUGGUUGUUCUGGACUAAUUGGAUAAGUGCCAGACUCAUCACCAUGCUGGUUGAUAGAAUAGCUCCAGCCAUGGACGUGGUUUGAAUUGCAGUGGAAGAGGUUAACACUCGAACAGAGGCAGCGGAGGAAUUUGCUUGGGGUUUGGCAGCCAUAUGCAGAGAUGAAACAGUGGUGUAGAUGGUGGAUGAAGAGCUGUUUGGAGGAUGAGAUUUCUAGCUCAGACGGCCUUCACUGGAAGGAAGCUAGGUGGAGAGGGAAAGCUCAAUUUAGAAUGACUUUUGGACAGAGUUUUGGGCUGGAAAUGCUUCAUCAGAGCAAAACUCAUAUAUAUCAUCAAAAGUGUUUACAUAAGCUGAUACAAGCAAAUUUAUAAUGAAAGACCCAAGCUAUGGACGGUGCAGAUGGUUGUGGAAGAAGCUCAGAUCUCCACACGUGGCAACGGUGAGGGAUGUGUGUUCUUCUUUUUGAAGAUGCAAGGCAAUGUGCGUGGG
rnacentral:lncRNA from 1 species